ensembl:lncRNA
GUUAAGUCAGGAGAUUCUGGUCUGGAGUCCAAUUGGCUCGUGGAUGGUGGGGUGAGGUCAGGGGAUUUCCAAAGGCUCUUUUCCCGGAACCUUACAAAAUGGAGUUUUUCUGUUAACAAAAUGGAGUAGCUUAGAUUCUUCACUGCAACGAAUGGCGACUCUGGUGGGGACUCUUCUUCACUGGGACUGACAUCCUGACCACUCAGGGUACUCAGGGUCCAGCUUGCUUGCCAAUAGACCAGACCCAGUGGCCACAACUGGGACGCUUUUGUCCCUAGUCUCCUCCUGAAGCAUACAACUGGCCAGAGUGCCCCGACCGAGAACACCCUAAGUUUGUUACUGAAGCUUAUCUCAGUAAUACAUCUUUGGUUGAAGAUCAGAUGCCUCAUGACCUGCAACCAGGACUGGAAAAAGACAUAACUGAAAGGACUGUCUCCAACCUGGAUAGAAGGACUUUUUUUAUCAGGAACCUCAGCUGAUGUGACCUACCCUAGGACCUAAUCCUUAGUUGUCAGCCCUACUGACUCAGCUUGGCCAGGUCUGGACCAGUACCCUGCAAGAAGAUUUUAGAUGUAUGAAAACACAAGGGAGAAGAUACAUGUUCAUCUAAUAGAUAUUUACUGAGUGCCAACUAUGUGUCUGCAUCUGAAUGCAGAGUUCCAAAGAAUAACAAAGAGAGAUAAGAAAGCCUUCCUAAGUGACAAAUGCAAAGAAAAAAAAAAAAAAAAGAAUGGGAAAGACUAGAGAUCUCUUCAAGAAAAUUAGAGAUACUUAGGGAACAUUUCAUGCAAAGAUGGGCAUUCAGUUCAGUUCAGUUCAGUCGCUCAAUCGUGUCUGACUCUUUGCGACCCCAUGAAUCGCAGCACACCAGGCCUCUCUGUCCAUCACCAACUCCCAGAGUUCACUCAGACUCACGUCCAUCGAGUCGGUGAUGCCAUCCAGCCAUCUCAUCCUCUGUCGUCCCCUUCUCCUCCUGCCCUCAAUCCCUCCCAACAUCAGAGUCUUUUCCAAUGAGUCAACUCUUCGCAUGAGGUGGCCAAAGUACUGGAAUUUCAGCUUUAGCAUCAUUCCUUCCAAAGAAAUCCCAGGGCUGAUCUCCUUCAGAAUGGACUGGUUGGAUCUCCUUGCAGUCCCAGGGACUCUCAAGAGUCUUCUCCAACACCAAGUUCAAAUGCAUCAAUUAUUCGGCGCUCAGCCUUCUUCACAGUCCAACUCUCACAUCCAUACAUGACUACUGGAAAAACCAUAGCUUUGACUAGAUGGACAUAAUUGAGGCCACAAAUGGUAUGGACCUAACAGAAACAGAAUCUGUUAAGAACAGGUGGCAAGAAUACGUGGAAGAACUAUACACAAAGAUCUUAAUGAUCCAGAUAACCAGAAUGAUGUGAUCACUCACUUAGAGUCAGAUAUCUUGGAAUGUGAAGUCAAAUGGGUCGUAGGAAGCAUCACUAUGAACAAAGCUAAUGAAGAUGAUAGAAUUCCAGCUGAGGUAUUUCAAGUCCUAAAAGAUGAUGCUGUGAAAGUGCUGCACUCAAUAUGCCAGCAAAUUUGGAAAACUCAGCAGUGGCCACAGGAAUGGAAAAGGUCAGUUUUCAUUCCAAUCCCAAAGAAAGGCAAUAGCAAAGAAUAUUCAAACUACCACCAACUGCACCCAUCUCACACAGUAACAUAACAAGGUAAUGCUUAAAAUUCUCCAAGCCAGGCUUCAACAGUACCUGAACCGAGAACUUCCAAAUGUUCAAGCUGGAUUUAGAAAUGCAGAGGAACCAGAGAGCAAAUUGACAACACGCUCUGGAUCAUAGAAAAAACAGAAUUCCAGAAAAACAUAUACUUCUGCUUUACUGAUUAUGCUAAAGCCUUUGACUGGAUGGAUCAUGGCAAACUGCGGGAAAUUUUUAAAGAGAUAGCAGACCACCUUACCUUCCUCCUGAGAAAUCUGUAUGCACGUCAAGAAGCAACAGUUAGAAUUGGACAUGGAACAAUGAACCAGUUCCAAAUUGAGAAAGGAAUAUGUCAAGGCUGUAUAUGUCACCCUGCUUAUUUAAUUUACAUGCAGAGUACAUCUUGCAAAAUGCUGGGCUGGAUGAAGAACAAGCUGGAAUCAUGAUUGCCAGGAGAAAUAUCAAUAACUUCAGAUAUGAAGGUGACACUAUCCUUACGGCAGAAAACAAAGAGGAACUCAAGAGUCUCUUGAAAAUGAAAGAGGAGAGAAAAACAAGCUGGCUUAAAACUCAAUAUUCAAAAAACUAAGAUCAUGGCAUCUGAUCCCAUCAAUUCAUGGCAAAUAGAUGUGAAAACAAUGACAGACUUUAUUUUGGGGGGCUCCCAAAUCACUGCAGAUGGUGACUGCAGCCACGAAAUUAAAAGACGCUUGUUCCUUGGAAGAAAAGCUAUGACCAACCUAGACAGCAUAUUAAAAAGCAGAGACAUUACCUUGCCGACAAAGGUCGGUCUAGUCAAAGCUAUGGUUUCUGUAGCAGUCAUGUGUGGAUGUGAGAGUUGGACAAUAAAGAAAGCUGAGUGCUGAAGAAUUGAUGCUUUUGAACUGUGGUGUUGGAGAAGACUCUUGAGAGUCCCUUGGAUUGCAAGGAGAUCCAACCAGUCAAUUCUAAAGCAGAUCAGUCCUGAAUAUUCAUUGGAAAGACCAAUGCUGAAACUGAAACUUCAGUACCUUGGACACUUAAUGUGAAUAUCUGACUCAUUUGAAAAGACCCUGAUGCUGGGAAAGAUUGAAGGCAGGAGAAGAAGUGGACGACAGAGGAUGAGAUGGUUGGAUGGCAUUACCGACUUGAUAGACAUUAUUUGAGCAAGCACUGGGAGUUGGUGAUGGACAGGGAAGUCUGGCAUCCUGCUGUCCUUGGGUUUGCAAAGAAUUGGACAUGACUGAGAGACUGAACUAAACUGAACUGAGCUGACCUAUGUGUCUGGCACUUAGCUAGGCUUUGGGAAUAGUGUAGUUAAAAGAAAGGAUACAAUCCACUGUUAUCAGAGACAACAGGAAUGUGUAGACAAUUAUAAAACGAGCCAAGAAGUGCAUGUUUUAUGAAGUAUGGUGUCUUGUGAAGCUCAGAGUAGGGCUCCUUAAGUGGCUCAGGAAUGUGUUCCAAGAACAUAAUGCAGAAUGAUUUGGGAGACAAGGAAGGAGUGUCUCGGUAGCAGUUUUCUAUAUUUGAAUGAAAACGUGCUCUUGUUUAACCACACAAAGUGGCUUCUUAGAAGUAAAAGGAUAGUCAAAAGCAGGAAAUUGUUUCUAGGGUUUGCUUCUUACACUUAUUACACUGAUUUAGCAAGAAGAAAUGAGCACAAAGACUUUGAUUACUUUGGGAUGGAAAUUAGAAAAAUAAUUGUAUUCUUUUCAGCCUGAACUUUUUCGGUGAGCAUCUUUCACAUAUAUUGGGAAUUUUAUUCAAUUCUUGGUACUUUUUACUCAUGUUGCUUCUUCUCCCAGUAAUGAAAUUUCUUUGUUAUCUUGGUGACAUCUUAAUCAUUGGUGAGUCCUUGGCCUUCCGUGGUGGCUUAGCUGGUAAAGGAUCUCCCUACAAUGGAGGAGACCCAGGUUCAAUCCCUGGAUCAGGAACUCACCUGGAGAAGGGAAUGGCUACACACUCCAGUAUUCUUGCCUGGAGAAUUCAUGGACUGAGGAGCCUGGUGGGCUACAGCCCAUGGGAUUGCAGAGUUGGAUACAACUGAACAACUAACACUUUUCACUGGUCUUCAAUGAAAUCUUUGCCAAGCAGAAUCAGUUGCUCUAUUCUUUCUUUUCCCUUAACCCCAUCUCUUAACAGGUGGAGCUUUGAACCAUCGGUAUUGGCCUCUCUUCCUGUGCCUUCCUGGUUGAGAAAGCAAUUAAUCAUUCUACUUGCUAAGCUCAGAACUCUGUAUGGUGGUGGUGGUGUAGUUGUUAAGUUGUGUCCGACUCUUUUGACCCUGUGGAGAGUAGCCUGCCAGGCUCCCCUGUCCAUGAGAUUCUCUAGGCAAGAAUACUGGAGUGGGUUACCAUUUCCUUCUCCAUGGAACUCUAUAUAGUAUUUAACUAUAAUACAUUUUUAAAAGAAGUAUAUGGGCUAACUGGAUUAAAAUUUAAUUUAAUAUUUAUAGUGAACUAAUUAUUUUGAUUACUUUAUCAUUAAAAGACUAUAUCAGUCAAAAAAUUAAACUUUAUUUUUUCUUUCUUGUUUCUCAGCAAAAGAAUGGGGUAGUGGUGGUGACAUUGGCAUUUGUUCUGAAACCAUCUUGAUUGAGUAAAUAUGAUGUGACACUUAUUUCCCAUUGAGUAAUUCAGAAACAAACACACCCAAGCAAUGGUGAACUCCUCUAAGGUGGAGAUAGAAGGACAGGCUGUGUUGACGCACAGUUAAUCAGGGCUGAGUAAUAGAGCUGAGUGAGAAAACAAAUGAAGAAAGCCCUGUGCCUACCCUUUGUAUGCUCUUCUACAGAUGUAUAGUCCUGACCUCAGGUUACUUAAACCAAAGACUGUCUUGUAUCUGGACUUCUACUUUUCCACUGUUAGCCCUCUUUUUUCCUCCAUUUCAGGUAUUUGACAGACACAAAAAUCUGUCACUAUAAAGUGAGAGAUUGGGCUUCCCUGGUGGCUUAGUGAUAAAAAAAUCCACUACCAAUGCAGGAGACAUGGUUUCAAUCCCUCAUUUGGGAGGAUCCCACAUGCUGUGGGGCAACUAAGCCCAUGCGUCACAACUACGGAAUCUAUGCUCUAAGGCCUGAGAGCCACAACAACUGAAGUCCCCGAGUCCUAGGGCCUGUGUCUCAUAAAAAUGGCAGCCAUCCAGUACAGCCAAAAAAGAAAGAAAGAAAGAGGCUCUUGAUAUAGAAUUGCUAUUGUUUAGUCACUAAGACAUGUCUAACUCUUUGUGAUCCUAUGGACUGAAGCAUACCAGGCUUUCCUUUCCUUCACUGUCUCCCAGAGAUUUUGCAAAUUCAUGUCCAUUGAGUCAGUGAUGCUAUCUAACCAUCUCAUCCUCUGUAGCUCCCUUCUCCUGACUUUAAUCUUUCCCAGCAUCAUGGUCUUUUCCAAUGAAUCAGCUCUUCACAUCAGGUGGCCGAAGUACUGGAGCUUCAGCUUUAGAAUCAGCUUCCUAUUGAAAUCUCCAAAGUGAUGCCAAAAACUGGGGACAGUCAUUGCCCUCUGGUAGGAGUAGACAUCCUAUGAAGUCAAAAGAUUUGCCUAACAACUACAAGCACCCAGCUUCGCAUAUGUAUGAGGAGACAACAAAGGAGAAGAGUCCCCUGCAUGGAUCACUGCCUUGUCAUAGCAAAAGGACUUGUGUAACUCAAUGAAGCUACGAGCCAUAUCAUGCUGGGCCAUCCAAGAUGGACGAUCAUAGUGAAGAGUUUUGACAAAACGUGGUCCACUAGAGGGGGAAAUGGCAACCCACUCCAGUAUUCUUGCCUCAAGAACCCCAUAGUGAAAGUGAGUGAAAGUGAAGUCACUCAGUCGUGUCCGACUCUUUGCGACCCCAUGGACUGCAGCCUACCAGGCUCCUCCAUCCAUGGGAUUCUCCAGGCAAGAAUACUGGAUUGGGUUGCCAUUUCCUUCUCCAGGGGAUCUUCCCAACCCAGGGAUCGAACCCAGGUCUCCCGCAUUGGAGGCAGACACGCUAACCUUUGAGCCACCAGGGAAGGCCCAAGAACCCCAUGAAUAGUAUGAAAAGGCAAAAAUAUAUGACACCAGAAUAUAAGCCCCUCAGAUCUGAAGGUGUCCAACAUGCUACUGGGGAGGAGUGAAGAGCAAUUACUUAUAGUUCCAGAGAAAAAUGAAGCAGCUGGGCCAAAGUGGAAAUAAUGCUCAGUUGUGGCUAUGUCUGAGGGUGAAAGUAAAGUCUGACAUUGUAAGGGAAAAUAUUGCACAGGAACCUGGAAUGUUAGGUACAUGAAUCAAGGCAAAUUGGAUGUGUUCAAGCAGGAGAUAGGGCUUCCCUGGUG